rnacentral:rRNA from 1 species
CCUACGGGAGGCUGCAGUGGGGAAUAUUGCACAAUGGGGGAAACCCUGAUGCAGCAACGCCGCGUGAGUGAUGACGGCCUUCGGGUUGUAAAGCUCUGUCUUCAGGGACGAUACUGACGGUUUCUGAGGAGGAAGCCACGGCUAACUACGUGCCAGCAGCCGCGGUAAUACGUAGGCGGCCAGCGUUGACCGGAUGUACUGGGCGUAAAGGGAGCGUAGGCGGACUUUUAAGUGGGAUGUGAAAUACUCGGGCUGAACUUGGGUGCUGCAUUUCAAACUGGAAGUCUAGAGUGCAGGAGAGGAGGAUGGAAUUCCUGGUGUAGCGGUGAAAUGCGUAGAGAUUAGGAAGAACACCGGUGGCGAAGGCGAUUCUCUGGACUGUAACUGACGCUGAGGCUCGAAAGCGUGGGGAGCAAACAGGAUUAGAUACCCGAGUAGUC